UACGUAGGGUGCAAGCGUUAUUCGGAAUUAUUGGGCGUAAAGGGCGCGUAGGUGGCUUUGCAAGUGACGGGUGAAAUCCCUCGGCUUAACCGAGGAACUGCCUGUCAGACUGCAUGGCUUGAGACCAGGAGAGGUGAGUGGAAUUCCCAGUGUAGCGGUGAAAUGCGUAGAUAUUGGGAGGAACACCAGUGGCGAAGGCGGCUCACUGGACUGGUACUGACGCUGAGGCGCGAAAGCGUGGGGAGCGAACAGG
rnacentral:rRNA from 1 species